rnacentral:misc_RNA from 1 species
UAUUUAUUGUUUCCUUUUGGAUUCUAAUCCAUCUUGUAAACGUAUUGGGCAUUCAUCAUUGAUAGCCUUGAAUUGAUGCACGAUUGUGUCGUGAUAAUAAUUAACCAUUUUUAAUCGACCAAUCAUUUCUUUGU